GCUGUGUCAUGGGUGUGCGUCCUCAACCUUGGCAAAAUAAACUUUCCAAAUUAACUGAGACCUAUCUCAGAUUUUCGGGGUUCAUAAGGCUAAGGAAGUAUUGUCUCAGGGAUUUUUAUUUUUUACUGUUUUGCUCGGAAGGAAGCAGGAAGUAGUUCCCCUAAACACUUCCCCAGCUUGGCAUUCUCAAGGUGGCUCUCAGCUCCCUGGCCUCCAGAGGUGUCUCCUUUUUCUCUUUUCCUCAUUGUCUGGCACAUAGAGGGGAGAGAAACCAUUUUUUAUUUUACGUUAUUUUUUAUUUUUUAAUUUUAAUUUUAAUUUGAGACGGAGUUUCACUCUCAUUGCCCAAGCUGGAGUGCAAUGGCGUGAUCUCAGCUCACUGCAGCCUCCUGUCAGAGAUGAUAAAUUCCUCUUCAAAAAGGUUUAGUUCUCUGUUCUUUGUUUCUUAAGACCAACUUCCUUGUACAUCCUUGUCUCCUAGCUACCUGUUCUGUAAACAGCCUUCCUGCCUUCGCCAGGCCCAGACAAGUCCAGAUAUGCCUUCCCACCUAGUAACGGAUAGUUCCUCUUCCUUCCCACCUAAUAGACCCUAUUCAAUUUUAAAUCUUAGCCAAUCGAAUUAGCUUAGAUUGUGAAGUCCAACCCCAGCCAAUGCGGAAAGGACACAGAAGUGCUAGGAACUGCAUUAGGGAUUAAAAACCCCUGCCCUACCCUGCUUGGUGUGCUCUUGCGAUUGUGACUAGCACAAGCUGCACCCUUCUGCAGAAGUAAAUUUGCCUUGCUGAGGAAUUUUCUGCCUAUGUGCUGUUUUUCUUUGUGGCACCAGGCACUUGUUUCUAACAAACUUGGGGGUUCAUCUGGGAUUCCCAUUCUCCUCCGGGGAGGGUCUCAGAUCAUUUCUCGUGAGGAGACGCAGCCCGCUGCUUUGUUGCGGUGGCCUCAAGGGUAAGGGAUCGAGACCCACCUGGUGUGAUGAAUAAACCUGGACUCUAGCAAUGAGGGAAGAAAAGGCAGACAGAUACUGUGGCGACCAGGUAACUCUGUGCAUAGACCAAGAGAAAAAGAAAAGUUAAAAGAAAUAGGAGCCAAAGAAAGUCACGAGGGAAGAUGGGUACAACCAGACAAGAAGGAAAUGCUGUCUAAGCCCUUCAUGCGAGAGGACUCAAGGCCUCCUAGCACAAACUCCACCCAUUGAAUUACCAGUUCAUCAACACCAGCCUGGAGAUCACAUCCUUAUCAGAAGUUGGAAAGAGGGAAAGCUCGAACCCACUUGGGAAGGACCAUACCUAGUGCUCCUCACAACUGAGACAGCAGUCCGGACCGUUGAGAGAGGAUGGACGCAUCAUACCCGGGUACCCCUCUCCAAAGUACCUACCCCCGAAAAUGUAACGUUAAAGAGAAAAGCGGCCGGCCCUAAACCCUCUUCUAACCAAACCUUUUCUCACUUCAUACCCAAUGAUAAAACUAAAGUUACCAUUAUAGAAGUUAAAGAUUUAAAGCAAACUCUAGCUAUUGAAACAGGAUAUCAAGAUCCAAAUGCCUGGUUGGAAGGGAUUAAAUAUUCCAUCCGCAAGCUAAAUAAAAGCGACUGUUAGGCUUGUGCGACAGGUAGGCCAGAAACCCAAAUUGUCCCCUUCCCACUUGGAUGGUCAUCUGACCAACGAGGCAUGAGCUGUGUGAUAGCUCUCUUCCAGAACCCCACAGCCUGGUGUAAUGAGUCAUGCAAGAUUCUUCCACUGCUGUUCCCUGAAGUCAAAAGCCCUGCGGGUCAGCCCUUGAGGGCCAUCCAGCCUGCAGCCCCUGAUGUUAACUUCACCUCUUGCCUUUCAUGGCAG
rnacentral:lncRNA from 1 species